rnacentral:rRNA from 1 species
AUUGAACGCUGGCGGCAGGCCUAACACAUGCAAGUCGAACGAGUGGCGGACGGGUGAGUAAUGUCUGGGAAACUGCCUGAUGGAGGGGGAUAACUACUGGAAACGGUAGCUAAUACCGCAUACCAUCGGAUGUGCCCAGAUGGGAUUAGCUAGUAGGUGGGGUAAAGGCUCACCUAGGCGACGAUCCCUAGCUGGUCUGAGAGGAUGACCAGCCACACGGGAACUGGGACACGGCCCGGAUCCCUACGGGGGGAAGCAGUGGGGAAUAUGGCACAAGGGGGGAAAGCCGGAGGCAGCCAGGCCGGGUGUAUGAAGAGGGCUUUCGGGUUGUAAAGUAAUUUAAGCGGGGAGGCGUUACCCGCAGAAGAAGCACCGGCUAACUCCGUGCCACCAGCCGCGGUAAUU